UUGGAAAUAAUGGGAAAUGCUAAUACUCAUAGAAAAAUGAUAUCUCUGACACUGAAAAAUACAGCUAAUUAAUAUGCUAUACUGAGGUACAGUAACUGAAUUAUAUGUUUGUACAAAUUAUUUUCUGUGUUGUAAAAUUGUAGAAUCCUAGAAUGGUUUGGGCUGGAAGGGACCUUAAAGAUCAUCUUGUUCCAAGCCCUGCCAAGGGCAGGGACACCUUCCACUAGACCAGGUUGCUCCAAGCCCUGUCCAACCUGGCCUUGGACACUUCCAGGGAUGGGGCAUCCAGAGCUUCUCUGGGCAACCUGUGCCAGGGCCUCCCCACCCUCACAGGCAAGAAUUCCACAGUGGCAGAUCAGGCCCAAAAACUUUGCUGCUCUGCUCCUUCACACACAAUGGUCUCACACAAAAGGAGUCAGUUGUUUACACCCUACAAACAUUAUAUAUUAAACACAAAUAAUUGUUUUGCUCUUACCCCACCUGUGAAGCCCUGAUAUGAGUCACUGCACCCCGUGUUUGUCUCUGUCCCCUGAUGCUGGACCACAAGGAGCAAACACAGCCCGAGGGCAGGUGACUUGUCAGGGCAAUGAACUGUCACCACGGGCGGGCUGCGGGUCCUUGGCUGCUCUGUGGAGAUGCUGGACAGGGUGCCAAGAUUAAAGCUGUUUCUAAUGAUUUGCCACUUUGCUGUUAAAAACUGAUGCAGGAGUGGGAAAAUGUUUGCUUUGGCCAACCAGUAAUCGGUGCUUGAGGGCAAUAAGCACCAAACUACUUUUUGGCCACUGUUGAUUCAUUUCCUGAAAAUUCCAAGGGGGUUCUAUUAUGGGGUUUUUUCCUUUUUUUUUUUUUUUUUUUUUUUUGCCUUUGCAUGUUCAGUGUUUUCUGCAGCUUGGUUUCCACAGCCUGGUUUAGGAAAGCCUCUGCUCUGUGUCCCUACCUCAUGGAGUCCACAUGAAAUAUGGGAGUCUGAGAAAUAUGGGAGUCUGUAAUUAUAAAAUCCUAGAAUGUUUUGGGCUGGAAGGGGCCCUAAAGAUCAUCUCAUCCCACCCCCUGCCAUGGGCAGGGACACCUUCCACUAGACCAGGUUGCUCAGAGCCCCAUCCAACCUGGCCUUGGAUACUUCCAGGGAUCCAGGGGCAGCCACAGCUUCUCUGGGCAACCUGUGCCAGGGUCUCCCCACCCUCACAGGGAAGAAUUUCUCUCUAAUCUAACCCUGCCCUCUGUCAGUGACGUAUUUUUCCUUUGCAACCUUUGUUAAGUCUCCUGGAGUUUUUAGGCACAAUUUAAAUUGUGCAUCUUUGAAUUCUGGAAAAACAUGCAGAGGUCUUCUCCAUUUCCUGGUUUGAUUUAUUGUUUCUAUGAAGGUUUAUCAUAUCUCCAUGCAUUUAAAUAUCCUUCAGGAAGGGAAUGCUGAACCCCAGUUGAGAGCCUGGUGGUUUCUGCAGUGGCUUUACACGAGCUGUCUGGACAAAAGGACAAAGUUUCCCAGGCAACAAUUUGUGGCAUGAAGGUUCGAGUGAGAGGAAGUGCACUUUCCUUUGCAUCACUCACGUUUCAGCCCAGAGCUUUCACACAUCCCAUAAGCUGCUUCGAGCCUGUGCAGUUCACAAAGUGGGGGAAAAAAAGGAAUUGAAGAAGCAAAAAUAAAUAUUGAAGCACGUAAGAAUUAAAUAUCACCUAUUCAAAUAGCAAUUAUGCUGUUGAAAACAAGAUCACCACACCUGUACAAGAAAAGACAACCAAGCCCACAACAUCUGUUUGGAUCCACCUGCCAAGCACCUGUUCGGCUGUUUCAAUGCCAUUUGAUUGCUGGAGAUGUAGAGGCUCUUGUGAGGUUUCUUGCACAGUUGUGUGCUUUGUGCUGAUGGAAGAUGCUGCAGACUCAGGUCUUUAUCCGCAGACCAGUUUCCAUGCUGGGAACUGCAGUAUAAAUCAGCCCACGCUCCUCACCGUGGAGAAUUCAUGCUUGGAAUGGUCUCCCAAAGACGAGGAAGAUGUGAAAGUCAAACUGAGAGAUGAAGCAUCCCCUCUGCCUCUUCCCAAGGGCCAGAACCGUGUGCCUGAUUCUCUGUGAUAUAUUCACACGGGAGGUAUUCUGGAACCGGCCAAGGACACAGCGUUUACAAGAAGGUCCUGACAAGCAUCCAAAAGUCUUUGCUGGAGCUUCCAUCUUAGAUGACCCCACGGAAUGUGAGAAAGCUUUCUUUGAGGGGAAUGGCAUCCUCUGGCCAGAGUUACAUCCAGAAAUUCUGCUGUGCUUAACCCGUCCCUGAAAUGCCCAGUGAAAAUGAAUUUAAGGGUGGAGGUGGGAAUGACAUAUUCGUGUUUUCUCAAGGAAGAUGCCAGGAGAGGCCUCAAUUUUUUGCUGCUCUGAUUUUUUCCUACUCACAGAACUACCUCUCUGAUAAACAGGGUUUCUGAGAUGAUCAUUUGGAUGUUUGAGCCCCUCAUCCUGGAAAAAUCAAAAGAAUUUAGGUCAUCUUCCUCGCUUGACUUAAAAAUAGCUCCAGUUAAUGGCGUUUGGAAAGCCUAUCGCUUUCAGUACAGUCUUCCACUUGUGAAGGGGGCAAAGUUUAUAAUUUUGGGUGGAAACCAUGUGAAAGUUAGCUGGUUCAUCAGGGUUUUGUUUUGACUUUUUUUGGAUUUGCUCAAAAUCAAAAGUCAAAAUGAAACUCGGGGGAUGUGAACCCGCUUGAAUCAAAACCAAGGGAGAGAUGUGCCAGAUCUCCCAUGAACCAAAAAACCACUGGGUUCUCACAGUUCUCAUCCAGACAAAAAUGCACAAAUAUAAAUCAAAUAUCCUCUCUCUUGCUCCUCGUAGCUUUCAGGGCAACAACAGAGAAUAUUAAAAAGAUCUGCUCAGUUUUGCAGCAGCAAGUACCAAAAUAUCCUGUGAUCAUCCGAUAGCUGGCAGUUAAUAUCCUGAUCUAUUCUCUUUAGUCAGUAAUCCAACCCUUUCCAGCUCACACUUGACGUUGGCAGGCACAGCAUAACCCCUCAACAUCUUCCUCGGUUGUACAGUUUCACGGGGAAGACUCUGUACAAUUCACAGUCCUUUACAUCCCUGCUCGAGGAGCCAAGGAGGGAGAUGGAUUUGCAAUUAUAUGAAAACUGCAAGCAGCAUGAUCAGUACAAAGACAGGACGCUUAGCCAGCCUAUGACAAGCUGGAGCACUGAGAAAAAUAUUUAAUGACAUUUUUCCCUGUGGUUCACCUUGUUUGAGAACAAACCACGGCUCAGAAAUGAGAGAAGAAAAAAAAAAUAAAUAUUAAAAAAUCAAUGUUUUGCGGUACCAUCGCUCACUGUGCACCAAACAGUUUCUAAAGCCAUAAAAAGAAAAAGUGCUGCUCAUGGAAGAACAGCAAAGGUUUCGUUUGUAACUAAGACACACUUGUUUGUAAUAACAUGUGUGCUUUUAAAUGCUGCCAAGUUGCUGAGGCUAUCUCUCUUAAAUACAAAUCUUGAAAUAUGUAAGUGUUAAAAAAAACAAGGUAAUGUUCAAGAAACGUCAAAGAAAAAAAAAAAAACUUUGAUCAGAUGGUUAAAAUCCAGUCAAACCAAAGACAACCUGUUUAUGACCUUUCUAUGCUAAAAGCUAAAAAUGUCUUUUUUUUUUUUUCCACAAGAUUAAUUGCCAUCACUUUGGGAGUAGUGAGCUGGACAUUAUUAUAUGAUGUCAAUUAAUGAUUAAAAAAAAGGUGGUUUGCAAAUGUAGCGCCACGGUCCCUGGUGCAUUACAUCAUUUCUCAAAGAUCUUAACACGUGAUAAGCAAAGAACAUUUUAACCUAAAAGUCUGAGUGUUACAACCUCGUUUUCGUUGUAAUACCCUACGCACAACCUUUUGGCCUUGAAGUCACUUGCAAUAAAAUUAAGAAGUCAAAAAGAAAAGGAAAAAUAACCUCUCAGGAGGAGAAGACACCCUCCUGUUCUGCUGUCUAAGUGUUACUGCCAUGGAAUGAGUCACUAUAUACGUUUGAAAACUUGGUGCAGAUCUGAGUGUGUGCUCUGUUCUCGGCAAGGUCCAUCAUCCAGAUCUCCUGCUCCGAGCCCUGAGGUUGCUGUGAUUCAGGUAUUAUAAACUGGAUAAUGAGUUAUCUCUGCCAGAGCGCCUCCGAAGUGUCAUAUGCUGAACAAAAUGACUCUGCACUUGCCCAGGCUCUGCUCUCCCAGAUGGGGUGACAGUGAUCAUUUAUGGGGCUUAGUGAAUCCGCUGCAAUAUUUAGAAGGGGUUUUACCUGUGUUCUGCAGCUCCUCCUGUCACAACCUCCCUUUGCAUCAAGUUUGAUUUCUUUGUCAGUGACAUUCGUUUUCCUGAGAGCUCUUCUCCACUUUCAGCAUCAAAACACUGUCGAGGCUCCUUUGUAAAUGAACGAUCCGCAUUUAAAAUACCUUUGUAAUAAUAAAUACCACAUGAACAUAUGUAUCAAGCAAAGGAUUUCAAUUUUGAUGACACUUGCUUCUCAAGAACAGACAUUCUGGGAGAAAAAAACGUUGCCAGCCCCAAAUUGAUUGACAUUUGUUUACUUAACUCUCUCUUCUUGAAAGUCUGCACACCUAUUUCAACCUUGAACAGUUUCCAACUGUGGUAUACUGGAACAUUUUUUCAUUUAUUAAGUUCAGUGUUGCCAACCCAAACAAAGAGUAAUCAGUGAUGAUCCAAGCAGACCAAGCUGUCUAGCACCAUACAAUGUAUCUGCAUGCUAAUUUUCAAAUUCCCUCACAUUUCCAGAGAACUAAUGGGAUCAUUUUCAUUCUGUUACAGCAACUCAACAGUUACUGAAUCACCAUCUGUGUUUUCGUUAACCUGAAUCAGAUAUAAAUUCUGUUAUUGCAAGGUAGAGCAGCUUGUUUAAUGAUUCUUAAUCUUUUCUUUAAUUAAAUCAUGCAGCCAACCUGAAAAAUCUAUCUUAAUGCAAAUUAGGAGCUUUUUUGGCAUUCGCUUACAGUAAUGCACUAAUAAGGUUAAUUUAUGAAGGUUCUCUUCCAGUCUGUACAGAUGAUAUUUGUUCGCUGCAUAUUUUUAGCAUAUUGUCCCUUUUUGUAAUAUUUAAAAAAAUAAUAAUAAAAAAAAAAUGCUUAUUUUCACCCGCACAAAAGAGGGAGGCUGUGAUCUGCUUAUUGU